rnacentral:rRNA from 1 species
GACGAACGCUGGCGGCGUGCCUAAUACAUGCAAGUCGAACGCAGUGGGGCCGGGUGAGUAACACGUGGGUAACCUCCCAUCAGAGGGGAUAACACUUGGAAACAGGUGCUAAACCGAUACUGAUGGAUGGACCCGCGGUGCAUUAGCUAGUUGGUGGGGUAACGGCUCACCAAGGCCACGAUGCAUAGCCGACCUGAGAGGGUGAUCGGCCACACUGGGACUGAGACACGGCCCAGACUCCUACGGGAGGCAGCAGUGGGGAAUCUUCGGCAAUGGACGAAAGUCUGAUGCAGCCAUGCCGCGUGUAUGAAGAAGGCCUUCGGGUUGUAAAGUACUUUCAGCGGGGAGGCGUUACCCGCAGAAGAAGCACCGGCUAACUCCGUGCCAGCAGCCGCGGUAAUAC